AGAGCAGCUGGAGACUGAGAAAGAAGAACUGCAGGAGGGGGCGUUCUUCGCCUGAUACAAGUCACGGCAAAUGAACUUCAGAAAACUAAGGACCAGGCGUCUGAAGCAGAAUACUUUUAAUUGUUUUAUUAGUUAAAAAAAACAUGGGUGAUUAAGUUGUUUGAUUCAUAAAUACAAAGGAAUGUACCUGCCUGCGUUGAAAAAGCUUUGUUAACUUGCUUAGGGUGUUUUAACAUUAAAAUAUUUAGAUCGUUUUGCUGCUGAUAUUUACAUCUUAUAGGUUUAUUAAUCGCUACGGCAAUUUUGAACAACGUAGAAUGGUGAUUUGGGUUUGAUAUCAUUAUUAUAAUCAUUUUUAUAAUCAUUAUUUCUUUUAUAUACCUUGAAUAUCACAGAAUCUUUGAACCGCUGAUACAUGGAACCUUAUUUCAAGAUAAUGUUAGCAGGAAAAGUUUUGUGCUGAUAGUCAUUUACAUUUCUAACCAUUUCCAGACAUGUACGGUGUACAUUAUAUACAUCUUUAAAAGUAUUGUAACUGUGGUUGUUUGAGUAUGAAGAACAAUAAAACUGGUGACUGGUUUAAA